rnacentral:rRNA from 1 species
UGGAUUAGGCAUGCAAGUCGAACGGGUGUAGCAAUACAUCCGUGGCGGAAGGGCGAGUAAUAUAUAGCUAACUUGCCCUUGAGUGGGGGACAACACCUGGAAACGGGUGCUAAUACCGCAUAAGACCACAGCGAGGCAUCUCGCAGAGGUCAAAGCCCUGUAGGGCGCUCAAGGAGGGGGCUAUAACGUAUCAGCUAGUUGGUGAGGUAACGGCUCACCAAGGCUAUGACGCGUAGCCGGUCUGAGAGGAUGGUCGGCCGCACUGGGACUGAGACACUGCCCAGACUCCUACGGGAGGCUGCAGUCGAGAAUCAUUGUCAAUGGGCGAAAGCCUGAACGUGCGACGCCGCGUGUGGGAUGAAGGCCCUUGGGUUGUAAACCACUGUCAGAGGGAAGGAAUAAGGCUGGCGACACCAGCUGAUGACUUAUACCUCAGAGGAAGUGACGGCUAACUACGUGCCAGCAGCCGCGGUA